GAAAAAUUUAAAGUAAAUGAUGGAUUGUUUCUAUUUUUAUUCAUUUAGUGCAAUUUUAUCAGAAAAAGUAAAAUAAUUACGAAAUUUGCUUUUAUAACUUAUUUUAACAGCGUGUUAAUGACAAUUAAAUAGAAUAAGGAUCCUGUACUAAAUAGGUCCACAGUAAUUAACCUCGAGUACGGGGUCAUGCAAUAUGGAACAAAAACAAUCGAUUCGCUCUUACACAACUCCGUAUUAAAAUUCUGGAGUGGUGCAUAAUCGGAACCUCCUCCCUGCAUACAAAAAAGUACGCGCAUACAACACACAAACCAAUAGUUCUUACGAUGAAGAAACAUUUUGAUUAAAUCAACCAACCAACCAACCCAUAAAAUUUACAAUAAGUACCGCUAAGAUUAUUUAAAUUUAUUGCAAAACAUAUGGGUCAUAGAAAAUCUCAAAUCGAAGGUUGAUUUUCACGAACAAAGCCCAUUUUAUAAAAUUGAGCAAUCUAGUGGUAGGGGGCAUGACCAAAAUCGUCAAGCAAGCGUUGGUGUUUUUUCAGAUGACAUUAUGUUGCUGCUUCGAAGUGGUUCUCUCUUAGUGUUAAUUGUGCCAAUUUUUGCAAAACCGUUCUUGUACAAUGCCCCCCAAGCGUUGACAAGUUUCGUCUCUUCAGCAUCUGCAGCAUCAUCAGGACCGCAAGGAAAUAUCGCUGAUUUGCGACGGCAACCUGCAAAACUUCAAGACGAACUAGAUAAUGACGACUUUUUCAAAGAUGAGGAAGACAGUCUUCAACAACCCGAAGUGGAAGAAGAGAUGCCAAACGAUGCCCCACCUGGUAUAUUCCGGCAAAAAAUUAACAAACUUAUACAGAAGUACCGAUUUUUUACAAGUUUGACAAACUCAGCUACGCCAUCAAAUGAUGAUGAUUUUCAGCGAGAGUUUGAUGAUUUUGAUAAAGAGUUUGAGGAGGAUGUGGGGAAAAAUAAUAAUUUGACGGAAAACUUGGGUUACUUUUAUAAUAAACCAUCAGUGAAAAGUGGGAAACAGGAGGCGAGUGCAAGUCGCUUCAGUCCGUCCAAUAUUGGUGUUUUUUUCAUGGAACUUAUUGGGAGUUUAGUGGGGUUAGUUUAUGGUGCUGCAGCUCAGUUGAAUUAUCCUGGAACGACAGUAGCGCCAGCUUAGUGUAUUUUUGUUGUGAAUAAACGUGUUAUUACCCAAAA